GGUGCGGUAUCCAAGUGGUAAGGAGACGGUCUGCAAAACCGUUAUACGCGGGUUCGAUCCCCGCCCGCACCUCCA
rnacentral:tRNA from 1 species